UUAUCAACUUUCGAUGGUAGGAUAGAGGCCUNCCAUGGUGNUACCGGGUAACGGGGUGUUAGGNCACGACACCGGNGAGGGAGCCUGAGAAACGGCUNCCNCAUCCAAGGAUGGCAGCAGGCGCGCAAAUUACCCAAUCCCGNCACGGGGAGGUAGUGCCAAUAAAUAACAAUACGGGGUUCUUUCGGAUCUCGUAAUUGGAANGAGUCCAAUUUAAAUCUCUUANCGAGGANCAAUUGGAGGGCAAGUCUGGUGCCANCAGCCGCGGUAAUUCCAGCUCCAAUAGCGUAUAUUAAAGUUGUUNCAGUUAAAAAGCUCGUAGUUGAAUUUCGGGGUUAGUAGGUUGGUCAUNCCUCUGGUAUGUACUGGUCUCACNGAUUCCNCCUNCCUGAUGANCCGUAAUNCCAUUAAUUUGGUGUUGCGGGGAAUUUGGACUGUUNCUUUGAAAAGAUUAGAGUGUUUAAANCAAGCUAACGCUUGAAUNCAUUANCAUGGAAUAAUGAAAUAGGNCGUUCGAUCCUAUUUUGUUGGUUUCUAGGAUUGUCGUAAUGAUUAAUAGGGAUAGUNGGGGNCAUUAGUAUUCAAUUGUCAGAGGUGAAAUUCUUGGAUUUAUUGAAGACUAACUACUGCGAAANCAUUUNCCAAGGAUGUUUNCAUUAAUCAAGAACGAAAGUUAGGGGAUCGAAGACGAUCAGAUNCCGUCGUAGUCUUANCCAUAAACUAUNCCGACCUAGGGAUCGGAUGAUGUUAAUUUUUAAUGACUCAUUCGGCGCCUUACCGGGAAACCAAAGUGUUUGG
rnacentral:rRNA from 1 species